AUAGUUGUAACAGAUGUUUUUUGUAUUUAUACUUUGUAUCUAAUAAUUUAUAAAUGUGUAACCAUUUACACACUUAUUCACAUUUGUUAUGUACAUGUACAUGUUUCACUCAGUAUGUCAUACGUUGGAGUUUGUUUAAAGACUCAGUAGUACUUUGAAAAAAAAAAUAUAGACAAUUUCCAGAAGACACACAAGGAUUUGGGGAUGCCAGAUUAUCACUCUUAUACCAAGCAGUCUGAACAACUGGACUUUAUAUCAAGACUCAAUUUUAAAGUUGGCAAUGAAAUAUAACCAGUAUUCCAUGAACUUUGUAGUGAAUUGAUUGGAGCUCUCGAUUGUUUCUAAUGAAGAGAAUGUUCCUCUCUUCUGUUAAUCCGUGCGAAUAUGGCCUGUUUAUACUGGUUUUUGUAUGUAUAAAAUAAAAUUCUUUGAACUUUA